UACGUAGGGUGCAAGCGUUGUCCGGAUUUAUUGGGCGUAAAGAGCUCGUAGGCGGUUAGUCACGUCGGAUGUGAAAAUCCAAGGCUUAACCUUGGACCUGCAUUCGAUACGGGCUGACUAGAGUGUUGUAGGGGAGACUGGAACUCCUGGUGUAGCGGUGAAAUGCGCAGAUAUCAGGAAGAACACCGAUGGCGAAGGCAGGUCUCUGGGCAACUACUGACGCUGAGGAGCGAAAGCGUGGGGAGCAAACAGG
rnacentral:rRNA from 1 species